rnacentral:rRNA from 1 species
UAGGGAAUCUUCCACAAUGGACGCAAGUCUGAUGGAGCAACGCCGCGUGAGUGAAGAAGGUUUUCGGAUCGUAAAGCUCUGUUGUUGGUGAAGAAGGAUAGAGGCAGUAACUGGUCUUUAUUUGACGGUAAUCAACCAGAAAGUCACGGCUAACUACGUGCCAGCAGCCGCGGUAAUACGUAGGUGGCAAGCGUUGUCCGGAUUUAUUGGGCGUAAAGCGAGCGCAGGCGGAAUGAUAAGUCUGAUGUGAAAGCCCACGGCUCAACCGUGGAACUGCAUCGGAAACUGUCAUUCUUGAGUGCAGAAGAGGAGAGUGGAACUCCAUGUGUAGCGGUGGAAUGCGUAGAUAUAUGGAAGAACACCAGUGGCGAAGGCGGCUCUCUGGUCUGCAACUGACGCUGAGGCUCGAAAGCAUGGGUAGCGAACAGGAUUAGAUACCCUGGUAGUCCAUGCCGUAAACGAUGAGCGCUAGGUGUUGGGGACUUUCCGGUCCUCAGUGCCGCAGCAAACGCAUUAAGCGCUCCGCCUGGGGAGUACGACCGCAAG